rnacentral:rRNA from 1 species
GUCCACGCCGUAAACGAUGAUUACUAGGUGUGGGGAGUUGAACCUUUCCGUGCCGGAGUUAACACAAUAAGUAAUCCACCUGGGGAGUACGACCGCAAGGUUGAAACUCAAAGGAAUUGACGGGGGCCCGCACAAGCAGUGGAGUAUGUGGUUUAAUUCGAAGCAACGCGAAGAACCUUACCAGGUCUUGACAUCGAGUGACGUUCCUAGAGAUAGGAAUUCCCUCGGGGCACAAAGACAGGUGGUGCAUGGUUGUCGU